AUGACAGACAUAAAACAAAGGAAAAUUGGCGCCCACGGUACAUCAACUUGGCAGGUGGGUGGAAAUUAUUUCAAUUUACACCACAUUGCCAUAUUCUGCCAACGUGACGCUCUGUCGUGGAGUGUGCAGGACUUCAGGCUCACACACAGUGUUCCAGCCAAAUCGACUCCAUUAUCUUCUCCCUUCUCCAAAUUCCUGGAUACACCUGAGCUCACAGUAUUUGAUCUCCAUCUAAACCUUGACCCAGUACGGCAGUACCAUCUCCUCCAUGAAGCCGCGGGGCCCAACUUCCACCAAACGAUCACCUCUGUGUGUAUGAGAAAGGAAGAGUGGGGCCAGAGAAUGAAAUCUGAGAAGAUUCAGUGGGCAUUUUGCUAA
rnacentral:rRNA from 1 species